UACGAAGGGGGCAAGCGUUGUCCGGAUUUAUUGGGCGUAAAGAGCUCGUAGGCGGUUCGGUAAGUCGGGUGUGAAACCUCCAGGCUCAACCUGGAGACGCCACCCGAUACUGCUGUGACUCGAGUCCGGUAGGGGAGCGUGGAAUUCCUGGUGUAGCGGUGAAAUGCGCAGAUAUCAGGAGGAACACCAGCGGCGAAGGCGGCGCUCUGGGCCGGAACUGACGCUGAGGAGCGAAAGCGUGGGUAGCAAACAGG
rnacentral:rRNA from 1 species